GGAAUGAGAUUCGAGAGACGCAGGCCGAGUGAUUUACAGGCAGCUUUGAGUCCCUUGGAGACGAGGUGAAUGCUCUUUGGGAGAUCACAGACUCUGUGAUUGGUGAAUGCUCUUUGGGAGAUCACAGACUCUCUGUGAUUGGUUGAUGCUCUUUGGGAGAUCACAGACUCUUGUGAUUGGUGAAUGCUCUUUGGGAGAUCACAGACUCUCUGUGAUUGGUUGAUGCUCUUUGGGAGAUCACAGACUCUGUGAUUGGUUAAUGCUCUUUGGGAGAUCACAGACUCUUGGAGAUCACAGACUCUGUGAUUGGUUAAUGCUCUUAGGGGAGAUCACAGACUCUUGUGAUUGGUUGAUGCUCUUUGGGAGAUCACAGACUCUCUUGUGAUUGGUUGAUGCUCUUUGGGAGAUCACAGACUCUCUUGUGAUUGGUUGAUGCUCUUUGGGAGAUCACAGACUCUUGUGAUUGGUUGAUGCUCUUUGGGAGAUCACAGACUCUCUGUGAUUGGUUGAUGCUCUUUGGGAGAUCACAGACUCUCUGUGAUUGGUUAAUGCUCUUUGGGAGAUCACAGACUCUUGUGAUUGGUUGAUGCUCUUUGGGAGAUCACAGACUCUUGUGAUUGGUUAAUGCUCUUUGGGAGAUCACAGACUCUCUUGUGAUUGGUUGAUGCUCUUUGGGAGAUCACAGACUCUGUGAUUGGUUGAUGCUCUUUGGGAGAUCACAGACUCUCUUGUGAUUGGUUGAUGCUCUUUGUGAGAUCACAGACUCUCUUGUGAUUGGUUGAUGCUCUUUGGGAGAUCACAGACUCUGUGAUUGGUUGAUGCUCUUUGGGAGAUCACAGACUCUCUUGUGAUUGGUUGAUGCUCUUUGGGAGAUCACAGACUCUCUUGUGAUUGGUUGAUGCUCUUUGGGAGAUCACAGACUCUCUUGUGAUUGGUUAAUGCUCUUUGGGAGAUCACAGACUCUUCGCAAACGGGAAAAUGACAAGAAGGAAACCAUCCGACAGCACGGUUACCGUGGUGACCCGGUUCCGCAAAGAUA
rnacentral:lncRNA from 1 species